rnacentral:rRNA from 1 species
AUUGAACGCUGGCGGCAUGCCUUACACAUGCAAGUCGAACGGUAACGGGCCUUCGGGUGCCGACGAGUGGCGAACGGGUGAGUAAUGUAUCGGAACGUACCUUUCAGUGGGGGAUAACGUAGCGAAAGUUACGCUAAUACCGCAUAUUCUGUGAGCAGGAAAGCAGGGGAUCGCAAGACCUUGCGCUGAUUGAGCGGCCGAUAUCAGAUUAGCUAGUUGGUGAGGUAAAGGCUCACCAAGGCGACGAUCUGUAGCGGGUCUGAGAGGAUGAUCCGCCACACUGGAACUGAGACACGGUCCAGACUCCUACAGGAGGCAGCAGUGGGGAAUUUUGGACAAUGACGGCAAGUCUGAUCCAGCCAUUCCGCGUGCAGGACGAAGGCCUUCGGGUUGGUAAACU